UACGUAGGGGGCAAGCGUUGUCCGGAAUUAUUGGGCGUAAAGAGCGUGUAGGCGGUCCGGUAAGUCAGCUGUGAAAGUCAAGGGCUCAACCCUUGAAUGCCGGUUGAUACUGUCGGGCUAGAGUCCGGAAGAGGCGAGUGGAAUUCCCGUUGUAGCGGUGAAAUGCGCAGAUAUCGGGAGGAACACCAAUGGCGAAGGCAGCUCGCUGGGACGGUACUGACGCUGAGACGCGAAAGCGUGGGGAGCAAACAGG
rnacentral:rRNA from 1 species